AUUGAACGCUGGCGGCAGGCCUAACACAUGCAAGUCGAGCGGAUGAAGGGAGCUUGCUCCUGGAUUCAGCGGCGGACGGGUGAGUAAUGCCUAGGAAUCUGCCUGGUAGUGGGGGAUAACGUCCGGAAACGGGCGCUAAUACCGCAUACGUCCUGAGGGAGAAAGUGGGUGAUCUUCGGACCUCACGCUAUCAGAUGAGCCUAGGUCGGAUUAGCUAGUUGGUGGGGUAAAGGCCUACCAAGGCGACGAUCCGUAACUGGUCUGAGAGGAUGAUCAGUCACACUGGAACUGAGACACGGUCCAGACUCCUACGGGAGGCAGCAGUGGGGAAUAUUGGACAAUGGGCGAAAGCCUGAUCCAGCCAUGCCGCGUGUGUGAAGAAGGUCUUCGGAUUGUAAAGCACUUUAAGUUGGGAGGAAGGGCAGUAAGUUAAUACCGUGCUGUUUUGACGUUACCAACAGAAUAAGCACCGGCUAACUUCGUG
rnacentral:rRNA from 1 species